CGCAUCUGUGCAUGCAGCAUAUCAAUAAGCGGAGGAAAAGGAGUGUACCUACGCUUAGGAUGUUGACGAGACUGUCGAUCUCAUCUAUACAUGACUCUGUGCAUAUCAAUAAGCGGAGGAAAAGAAACUAACAAGGAUUCCCUUAGUAACGGCGAGUGAAGCGGGAAGAGCUCAAAUUUGAAAUCUUCAAGGUUUUACCUUGACGAAUUGUAGUUUAAAGAAGUGUUUUCUGUUGAAGUUUUGGUAAAAGUUCUUUGGAAUAGGACAUCAUAGAGGGUGAGAAUCCCGUAUUUGACCAUUAUUUUCAGCUGUGUGAUACACUUUCAAAGAGUCGGAUUGUUUGGGAAUGCAGUCCAAAAUGGGUGGUAAAUUUCAUCUAAAGCUAAAUAUUGGCGAGAGACCGAUAGCGAACAAGUACCGUGAGGGAAAGAUGGAAAGAACUUUGAAAAGAGAGUUAAACAGUACGUGAAAUUGUCAAAAGGGAAGCGUUUGACACCAUGUGUUGUUUUCUCGAAAAUCAAUUAAAAAGAGUUUAGAUUUUGUUGUGUAUUGACCUUAACAGCUUGCAUUUCAAUUUUCUUGCUUUUUUUAAUGCACUUUUCGUUUAACAAGUCAACAUCAGUUUCUUUUGUUGUAAAAAGGUCAUUGGAAGGUGGCUUUCUUUUCGGAGAAAGUGUUUAUAGCCUUUGACUCCUGCAAUCGGAGAGACUGAGGUCCUGCAGCGUAGAUCCUUCGGGGUUAGAUACAUUUGUGCUAAGUUAUAGCUUUUUAUAGACAACUUGUUGACUAUGAUUAGUCUUGUAGCUUACUCGCCUAUGCUAUUUUACCUACGCUUAGGAUGUUGAUGUGAUACUGCGAGCA
rnacentral:rRNA from 1 species